UACAGAGGGUGCGAGCGUUGUUCGGAAUUACUGGGCGUAAAGAGUGUGUAGGCGGUGUUCCCAGUCUGUUGUGAAAUCUCCCGGCUUAACUGGGAGGGUGCAGCGGAAACUAGAAUGCUAGAGGGUGGGAGAGGUAAGCGGAAUUCCUGGUGUAGCGGUGAAAUGCGUAGAUAUCAGGAGGAACACCUGUGGUGUAGACAGCUUACUGGACCACUUCUGACGCUGAGACACGAAAGCGUGGGUAGCAAACAGG
rnacentral:rRNA from 1 species